rnacentral:rRNA from 1 species
CCUACGGGAGACAGCAGUGAGGAAUAUUGGUCAAUGGGCGGGAGCCUGAACCAGCCAAGUCGCGUGAGGGAAGACGGUCCUAUGGAUUGUAAACCUCUUUAGGCGGGGAGCAAUGCCGGGCACGCGUGCCCGGAGGGAGAGUACCCGCAGAAUAAGCAUCGGCUAACUCCGGGCCAGCAGCCGCGGUAAUACGGAGGAUGCGAGAGUUAUCCGGAUUUAUGGGGUUUAAAGGUUACGUAGGCGGAUUUUUAAGUCAGCGGUAAAAUGUCCGGGCUCAACCCGGGCCGGCCGUUGAAACUGGGGAUCUUGAGUGGGCGAGAAGUAUGCGGAAUGCGUGGUGUAGCGGUGAAAUGCAUAGAUAUCACGCAGAACUCUGAUUGCGAAGGCAGCAUACCGGCGCCCGACUGACGCUGAGGCACGAAAGCGUGGGGAUCGAACAGGAUUAGAUACCCCGGUAGUC